GGACGCAUGGCCCAGUGGUAAGGCGCUCGCCUUCGAUACAGGUGUAGAAUUCUCCCACUCGUGAGCGAGAGAUCGUCGGUUCGACCCCGGCUGCGUUCA
rnacentral:tRNA from 1 species